rnacentral:rRNA from 1 species
GAUACCGCCCUAGUUCUAACCGUAAACUAUGCCAGCUAGCGAUCCGCCGACGAUCCCUCCGUUAUGGCUCGGCGGGCCGCUUCCGGGAAACCAAAGCUAACGGGUUCCGGGGGAAGUAUGGUUGCAAAACUGGAACUUAAAGGAAUUGACGGAAGGGCACCACCAGGAGUGGAGCCUGCGGCUUAAUUUGACUCAACACGGGAAACCUCACCAGGCCCGGACACCGGAAGAUUGACAGAUUGAGAGUUCUUUCUCGAUUCGGUGGGUGGUGGUGCAUGGCCGUUCUUAGUUGGUGGAGUGAUUUGUCUGGUUAAUUCCGAUAACGAACGAGACCCCGUCCUGCUAGUUAGGCGAUCCGGGCGCCUCCCGCUCUGGGGCGGCGGUUCGUUCGCGGGCCGUCGUUCCUCGACGUGGGGCUCUAAGCCCGGGACCCGGUAUCGUGAUCCGCACCCCGUCCGCCUCUCGGGGCGAGACCCGUCGGGGCGGCCGUGCCGGUUCGCGCCGUUUGUCGGCGGUCGUUUACCGGCGGGAGCAGUGGGUCGGAGGGCCCGGUCCUCUCGGGGGCCGGACACGCUCGCUACCGGCGGAAUUUUACUCAGCUUCUUAGAGGGACAAACGGCGCAGUCAGCCGUGCCGAUACGGAGCGAUACAGGUCUGUGAUGCCCUUAGAUGUCCUGGGCGGCACGCGUGCUACAAUGACGAUCAGCGUGUUCUACCCUACGUCGAGAGACACCGGUAACCCCCUGAAUCCCGUCCGUGAAGGACCGGAGCUUGCAAUUGUUCCCCGCGAACGAGGAAUUCCCAGUAGUCGCGAGUCAUAACCUCGCGGCGAUUAAGUCCCUGCCCUUUGUACACACCGCCCGUCGCUACUACCGAUCGAGCGGUUCGGCGAGGACCUCCUACGGCUCGCCGGCGAUCCGCUUCGUGCGGGGCCGCCGGUGCAGCAUGCGGUUUUGUGCCGCGGAAAGUCGACCGAGCCCGAUCGUUUAGAGGAAGUAAAAGUCGUAACAAGGUUUCCGUAGGUGAACCUGCGGAAGGA